AUUCCCUCACGAAUUGUGUGUCACUGAGGCUACCAAGAGGAAUCAGGCACAGGUGACCUCAUGGGGGACUGAACACAAGUGUGGCCAGUUCAGAGCAGGAAUCAAAAUCACACAGGCCCCACCCCACUCCCCUCUCACUCCUGUGCUCCCUGCGACAGGUUCCUUAAUGUCUCUGUUUCUUCCUCCAUAAAAUGAGGGCAGCAGCCAGCUCACCUCCUGGGGUGCUGGGCUGAGUGAGUCCUGCCUGGAAGGUGCUCAGAGCAGGGCCUGGCCCAAGAGGCCCCUCAGCUCACAGCGGCCCUCACUGUGGAGCCGUGGCGCGGGUAAUUGAUUUUCUGGUUCUGCUGACGUGAGACUCUGCACCUGUGAGGUGGUGGCUGCCCAGUGCUGUUCAGGGAGCCUGGGCUCUGACUGGCUAUUCCAUGAUUCAGCAACUUUGGAUUCUCACCAUAUCCACAUGUGAGUUAUAGGAAUUCCAAGAUAUGCAUUUUGCAAGACAAAAUGAGAGAAAUAGUUCAAAUCGAAUAUGCCCAGUUAGAUUUAACACAUACGCCAUUUAUUAUCCGCUGUUCAUUUCAGUCUGUGUUCUGCAUCCUGAAUAUGUUUGCGUCUGUUCUGUAUAUAUUUUGCAGAACCAUUGGGCACUGUGUUUUGGGGUGAUUUCUAAGGGCGAUUUUGACCAAGCAGUUUGCCCUCUGUGCCGGCGUUAGGACAGAGUCCACAUAUGGUGUGUGGGUCUGCCCCAUAAACAAGGGAUCCGUUCCUAUCUCAGGAUGAACAUAGAGGUGUGAAGUGAGAAUUCUGGCAGUGCCCUCCCUCCCUCCCUCCAGGGUGGCAGGAUCGCUGCCGCAUCUCAGUCCCCACUGCGUUCUGUGCAGGCUUCUCUGUUCCUUUCUAAGAGUUGUGGCUGAAUUCAGCCCUGCCAUGCGAUGGGAUCACAUCUGGCACCUGCACAGGCAGGGCCCUUGCUGUUGGCCCAGCGAUCAGGGACGGUGGCCUGGCCCAGGGCAGGGGCAGGGACCUGGGAGAAUGGCCCAGGGCAGCUUGGGUCUGGGGAAGAGCCAGGGGCCUGGUGGACAGCCAGGUAGGGCCGGAUGGGGUUGGCAGUGACUCCUGGGCCAUGGUUCUCCCUCCUGGUACCCUAGGGACGCCCCCCUUCCCCACUAUGUGCUGAGUGUCGCAGAGGCUUUUGGCCUGCAGCCCCCCUUUUCCUACAGCCUCAGCUUUUCAAGAGAGAAGUGCUGGCUCCCUUGGCUCAGCACACAGUCCCCUGCGCGGCUGGCACAGAGCUGUGCCAUCUCCAGUGUGGACAGACCUGCAGGUGGCCCCAGAUCAGGCUCCUAAGCACUUGCUGGAGCCCGGAAGCAGAGCCCUCCUUCUAUUAUUUUCUUAGGACAGGCGCUCUCUGUGGGGCCAGUGCACCCUCCUGCAGGAAGCCCUCCAGGGUGAGAUGGAGAUGCUGAGACCACCUGGCCACACCCAGAUUCCUCUCUAGGCCACUACCCCUCCACAGUCAAUUAAUGAGCACCUACCGUGUGUGAGGCAGGGCUGGGCAGUCUGAGCACAGGGUCCUGUGUCAGGGACAGAGUUGAACUGGACACCAACCAGUCCUGCAGUGCCGAGUGGGUGCAGGAGGGGCCGAGGCCUGGGGGACGUGGGUGGGGACACGCCCCCUGGGGAGGGGCUGGGCAGAGAGGGGCAGGGUGAGCAGGACCCGCCAGGACAUAGAGGGAGCCUCGCUGGCAGAGGGCAGAGGGGUCAGGGCCCAUGGGGAGGCCACGGUGUCCUGGGAUUAAUGAGAUUCCUUUCAAAGAGUCCUGGGGAGUCACACCCUACAAACCAUAAAAUCUCAUGAAAUGGGCUUUUCUAUUAACCUGGUAUAAUGGGGCUCACCUUCCAGCCUGACUGUGGUACGGCUCAGGUGACAGACAGCAGACCCGUUCUCUUAACCCCAGCACCCCUUCUCCUGACUCCAAGACUUUAGACAAAGCUUGGCUCUCUCAGCCAGCUGUGAGCUAAAAAGAUCCCGGAAACCCACCGGUGACUGAGAUAGCCUGAGGCUCCUGGGCAGAAGAUGGCCAGGUUCUGACAACAGGAGUGGGUAGGAACCCGACGUGGGAGGAGCCUGAGAGGAGGGCACUCCCCAGCCCCCAGCUCCCACCGCAGUGCCUCCAUGUGGUCCCAACCCUGGUGGCGCCUCUGCCCUACUGUCUGUCCCCAGCCAAGAUGGACCUUGCUGGGUGGGAGGUGGGUGUCUCCCUGGUCCAGCAGUUGAGGGGACUCCUGAGCCCUGCCCACUUUCCCUCCCCUUGCCCCAGCCUGGGGGAGGUUACCGCGCUUCCCUGAGCCCCCGGCUCAUGAGGCCUCUCCUCCCUGCUCCUCCUCCCUGCGCCCUUCAGCCUGCAUCCUCCUCCCUGCCUAUCUUCCCUGCUCCUCUCUGACCCCUCCUCCCUGCAUCCUCCAACCUUGGCCCUCUUCCUUGUCCCCUCUUUCCAG
rnacentral:lncRNA from 10 species